rnacentral:tRNA from 1 species
GGAAUAUUAUAUAAAUUUAUAUAGGAUUAUUUUUAUUUUAAUAUUUUGUUUUUGAAUCAAAGUGUAAAAAAUUAAUUAGAAUUAUAAUUUUUAUAAAAAAAAGAUUAAGUUAUUUAUUAAUAUUUAAAUAUAUUGUUUUUUUUUGUAAUAAUUUUAUGUUAAUUCAACUUUGGAUUUUCUG